AUUGCCCAAUACUUACUCGCCAGAGAAAGGUGGGAUCGAUGCCAGGUCCAGAGCGAAGCCAUUCUUGAUUCGGGAGCUUACGGAAUAUUCAUUGACGAAUCAAUUGUAAAACAAAAUAAAAUUCCAAGUGUGUUAAAAGCA